GGGAUGUGUUCUGUUAAUUGGAUAACUGUGGUAAUUCUAGAGCUAAUACAUGCAUAUACGAUCAGCUUCGGCUGGUUGUGCUUUUAUUAGUGCAAACCAGGACCUUUCGGUCUGUCAGUGGUGACUCUGAAUAACUUUGCCGAGCAUUUCAGCUUCGUGCUGGUGCUAUUCCUUCAAAGUAUCUGCUCUAUCAACUGUCGAUGGUAUAUUAUAUGUUUACCAUGGUUGUAACGGGUAACGGGGAAUUAGGGUUCGAUUCCGGAGAGGGAGCCUGAGAAACGGCUACCACAUCUAAGGAAGGCAGCAGGCGCGCAAAUUACCCAAUCCCGGCACGGGGAGGUAGUGACAAAAAAUAACAAUGCGGGACUCGUAUGAGGCUUCGUAAUUGGAAUGAGUACAUUCUAAAUCCUUUAACGAGGAACUAUUGGAGGGCAAGUCUGGUGCCAGCAGCCGCGGUAAUUCCAGCUCCAAUAGCGUAUAUUAAAAUUGUUGCGUCUAAAAAGCUCGUAGUUUGAAAACUUGCCUUAGCUUACAAUCGACCCUUUCAGGGUCACCGUUUGUUGGGAGCAAAUAUAGAUGAUUGUAUUUGCCGACUUCAUUGUUUGGCUUAUAAACGUCAUCAAAUAUCACUUUGAUUAAAUUAGAGUGCUUAAAGCAAGUGUGUUACUUGGAUAUAAAUGCAUGGAAUGAUGGAAUAUGUUGUUGUUCUAUUUGUUGGUUUUUUGAACGAUGAAAUGAUUGAAAGGAACUGUUGGGGGCAUUCGUAUUGUUGUGAGAGAGGUGAAAUUCUUAGACCACAGCAAGACGAACUACUGCGAAAGCAUUUGCCAAGAAUGUUUUCAUUGAUCAAGAACGAAA
rnacentral:rRNA from 1 species